UACGUAGGGGGCUAGCGUUGUCCGGAAUCAUUGGGCGUAAAGCGCGCGUAGGCGGCCCGGUAAGUCCACUGUAAAAGUCAAAGGCUCAACCUUUGAAUGUCAGUGGAUACUGCCGGGCUAGAGUCCGGAAGAGGCGAGUGGAACUCCUGGUGUAGCGGUGGAAUGCGCAGAUAUCAGGAAGAACACCGACGGCGAAGGCAGCUCGCUGGGACGGUACUGACGCUGAGGCGCGAAAGCGUGGGGAGCGAACAGG
rnacentral:rRNA from 1 species